rnacentral:rRNA from 1 species
GAUGAACGCUGGCGGCGUGCCUAAUACAUGCAAGUCGAGCGAACAGACGCGGCGCUUGCUCCUUUGACGUUAGCGGCACACGGGUGAGUAACACGUGUGUACCCUACCUAUAAGACUGGUAUAACUUCGGGAAACCGGCGCUAAUCCCGGAUAAUCUUUCGAUCCGCGUGGUUCGAUGGUGAAAGAUGGCUCUGCUAUCACUUAUAGAUGGACCUGCGCCGUAUUAGCUAGUUGGUAAGUAAACGGCCUACCAAGGCAAGGAUACGUAGCCGACCUGAGAGGGGGGUAGGCCACACUGGAACGGGGACACGGUCCAGGGUCCUACGGGACGCAGCAGAAGGGAAUCUGCGGCAAUGGGCGAAAGCCUGACGGAGCAACGCGGCGUGAGUGAUGAAGGUCUUCGGAUCGGAAAACUCUGUUAUUAGGGAAGAACAAACGUGUAAGUAACUGUGCAGUUCGUGACGGUACCUAAUCAGAAAGCCACGGCUAACUACGUG